rnacentral:rRNA from 1 species
ACGCUCGACACCUACGGGAGGCAGCAGUGGGGAAUAUUGCACAAUGGGGGAAACCCUGAUGCAGCGACGCCGCGUGGAGGAAGAAGGUCUUCGGAUUGUAAACUCCUGUUGUUAGGGGAAAAAGAGGAUGGUACCCAACAAGGAAGUGACGGCUAACUACGUGCCAACAGCCGCGGUAAUCUGAGCGGGCUGGCAAGGC